rnacentral:antisense_RNA from 1 species
GCUGCCAGGCGGCGAGAACGCGCUGGGGCAUCCCCUGGUCCGCUCGGCGCGUCGCUCUAGGAUCCCGGACUCGGAAAAGGAGCCCGGGCGCGAAAGCGGCCGAGCUGGGCCAGGAUCUAGAAAGACUGCCUGGCGCAGGCUCCCUGCCCCCGCGGGCCUGCUGUCAUGCACCCGUGGAGAGCUCGCUUCCCGCGCGGACCCUUCCUGCAGGGGUCCACGUCCAGGCACCGGUGGCUCGGACACCCCACCCCCGGCCGGGCACCUUCCCUGGGUGCCCGUUAACCCGGGCGGUAGCUCGUUAAGAUGGCGAAGUGUCCGGUGCGGAACACACGAAACCCCAAAUCCCGCCUGUCCGACUUCCUGAGCCCGGGCCCCGCGGGACGACAGACUGGGCCUCCCGACGCGCAGCGCGCUGCCGGGACACCGGUGCGUGCGAAACGGAGGACCUUUGUAACGCCACGUGUUUGCCCUUUUUGAAAAAACAAGAAUAAAUGUGUUAAACUGUCUGAAAAGCUUGCCGCCUAAAA